rnacentral:rRNA from 1 species
GUUAGCGGCGGACGGGUGAGUAACACGUGGGUAACCUACCCUGUAGAUUGGGAUAACUCCGGGAAACCGGGGCUAAUACCGAAUAACACUUUUGACCUCAUGGUCGAAUGUUAAAAGACGGUUUCGGCUGUCACUACAGGAUGGGCCCGCGGCGCAUUAGCUAGUUGGUGAGGUAACGGCUCACCAAGGCAACGAUGCGUAGCCGACCUGAGAGGGUGAUCGGCCACACUGGGACUGAGACACGGCCCAGACUCCUACGGGAGGCAGCAGUAGGGAAUCUUCCACAAUGGACGAAAGUCUGAUGGAGCAACGCCGCGUGAGUGAAGAAGGAUUUCGGUUCGUAAAACUCUGUUGCAAGGGAAGAACAAGUAGCGUAGUAACUGGCGCUACCUUGACGGUACCUUGUUAGAAAGCCACGGCUAACUA